UACGUAGGGUGCGAGCGUGUCCGGAAUUAUUGGGCGUAAAGAGCUUGUAGGCGGUUUGUCGCGUCUGCUGUGAAAAUCCGGGGCUCAACCCCGGACUUGCAGUGGGUACGGGCAGACUAGAGUGUGGUAGGGGAGACUGGAAUUCCUGGUGUAGCGGUGAAAUGCGCAGAUAUCAGGAGGAACACCGAUGGCGAAGGCGGGUCUCUGGGCCGAUACUGACGCUGAGGAGCGAAAGCGUGGGGAGCGAACAGG
rnacentral:rRNA from 1 species